AGAGUUUGAUCCUGGCUCAGGAUGAAUGCUGGCGGCGUGCCUAACACAUGCAAGUCGAGCGGCAGCGCGUCUCUCACUGUUUUCUUCUCUCUCAUCGAGACAGGAGUAGCGAUUUUGUUUACAAAAUCGCGUCUUCUAUAGCGAAGGGGGAAUAGAGGAGGAAAGAGUGAGAGAUGGCGGCGAGCGGCGGACGGCUGAGUAACGCGUGGGAACGUGCCCCAAAGUGAGGGAUAACGCACCGAAAGGUGUGCUAAUACCGCAUAUGAUCUUCGGAUUAAAGCUUUAUGCGCUUUGGGAGCGGCCCGCGUCGGAUUAGGUUGUUGGUGAGGUAAUGGCUCACCAAGCCGACGAUCCGUAGCUGGUCUGAGAGGAUGACCAGCCAGACUGGAACUGAGACACGGUCCAGACUCCUACGGGAGGCAGCAGUGGGGAAUAUUGGACAAUGGGCGCAAGCCUGAUCCAGCCAUGCCGCGUGAGUGAAGAAGGCCUUAGGGUUGUAAAGCUCUUUCAGCGGGGAAGAUGAUGACGGUACCCGCAGAAGAAGCACCGGCUAACUACGUGCCAGCAGCCGCGGUAAUA
rnacentral:rRNA from 1 species